GACGAACGCUGGCGGCGUGCUUAACACAUGCAAGUCGAACGGGCUCUGUCUGGCUGUGUGCUGGGUGGGGUUAGUGGCGAACGGGUGAGUAAUACGUGAGUAACCUGCCCUCUUCUUUGGGAUAAGCCUUGGAAACGGGGUCUAAUACUGGAUAUUCCUGUCUGGUCGCAUGGCUGGGUGGGGAAAGUUUUUUCGGUGGGGGAUGGGCUCGCGGCCUAUCAGCUUGUUGGUGGGGUGAUGGCCUACCAAGGCGUCGACGGGUAGCCGGCCUGAGAGGGUGACCGGCCACACUGGGACUGAGAUACGGCCCAGACUCCUACGGGAGGCAGCAGUGGGGGAUAUUGUACAAUGGGCGCAAGCCUGAUGCAGCGACGCCGCGUGGGGGAUGACGGCCUUUCGGGUUGUAAACCUCUUUCGUCGGGGGACAAGGCUCUGCUUGGUGGUGGGGUUGAGGGUACCCGGUGGUUAAACGAUGGCUAACUACUCGCCUCUGCUCGCGUCUUUGGUUCGCCGCCCUCCCUUUUUUUCCCUUUUUCGCCCGACAGGC
rnacentral:rRNA from 1 species